AGGAUCUCCACUUUCGGCAGCCGCUGGUUUGGGUUCGUGCUGGUGCGUCGCUUCAACACUUCGAAUGCUUCGUUUACCUGCAAGUAAUCGGAGCAUUGUCGUAUUUCAAACAUUUCUGCAAAGUGAGAACCGGAUGUAUAUGCCAUCGGUGAGGAUAUUAACCAGACAUCCAGCUACAGUAACACAAUACAGCGCAGUUUCAGUUGUUUGUCGCGGCGGAUGUAAACGCGUGCCUCUCCGCGGCACUGUGACACUAACCUUCCGCAACCGACGCCGCUCGCGCAGGGUGGCCGCUUUCCGGCGAUCGACCGCGACGCUCUUCUUUUUGCACGCCUUG